AAAGAUCUUCUCUGAUUUGUGCUUAUAAUAAACCCAGCUGCAACAGUUGGUGUCUCUUAAUUACAUUGAAAGAAUUUAAAGUCGAAACGGUUUAGGACUCCUUCGUAUACAUAGGCCAGCAAAGUAGGCAAUACUGGUAUGAUAUGCAUUCGUAGGAAGUCGCACUGUCUUUAAAUCUAAGUGCUGGACGACCUACUGCGCUAGGAUUUUGGUAUCUGUAGACACAUAUUUUCAAAACUAACUGUAUUUUGCCUUUUAUAUAGUCCGGCGACGGAUCAUUCAAGUGUCUGCCCUAUCAACUUUCGUCGGUACGGUAUUUGCCUACCGAGGUUCUUACGGGUGACGGGGAAUCAGGGUUCGAUUCCGGAGAGGGAGCCUGAGAAACGGCUACCACAUCCAAGGAAGGCAGCAGGCGCGCAAAUUACCCAUUCCCGACGCGGGGAGGUAGUGACGAAAAAUAACAAUGCAGGACUCGUUCGAGGCCCUGUAAUUGGAAUGAGUACACUUUAAAAGCUUUAACGAGUAUCCAUUGGAGGGCAAGUCUGGUGCCAGCAGCCGCGGUAAUUCCAGCUCCAAAAGUAUAUAUUUAAGUUGUUGCGGUUAAAAAGCUCGUAGUUGGAUUUUGGGCGCAGGCGGCCGGUCCGUCGCAAGGCGUGUACUGGACGUCCUGGCCUUCCCUCCGGUUCUCCGCCGGUGCUCUUGACUGAGUGUGUCUUUCUAAAAUUGUAAUUGCCGACUUCGUUCAAAUUGAAUUGCCUACGACUAAUCUUUUAUUUUGCUACCCUUCAACCUAGGCUCAUUAUAUAAACCCUUUCAGCUAAAUUAUCACAACAACGGUAUAUAGUAAAUAAAA
rnacentral:ncRNA from 1 species